rnacentral:rRNA from 1 species
CGAGUGGCGAACGGGUGAGUAACGCGUGAGGAACCUGCCUCAAAGAGGGGGACAACAGUUGGAAACGACUGCUAAUACCGCAUAAGCCCACGGGUCGGCAUCGACCAGAGGGAAAAGGAGCAAUCCGCUUUGAGAUGGCCUCGCGUCCGAUUAGCUAGUUGGUGGGGUAAUGGCCCACCAAGGCAACGAUCGGUAGCCGGACUGAGAGGUUGAACGGCCACAUUGGGACUGAGACACGGCCCAGACUCCUACGGGAGGCAGCAUG